AUGCCUCUCGGAUAGAGAUAGAGAUAAAGGGAGAAAGGGUGAGGGAGAAAGGGUGAGGAGACAGAGGAAUAGAUUACAAAUUUGUUAAGAAAAGUUGGUUAUGAUGAAAUUUCAUUCUUAAAAAUCCAUCAAAUCAUGCUUAAAUUUGUGAUUUUUGUAAGUUACUGAAUUAGGAGACGUUUUCUAGUGGAGAAAACAUCGCAGCGCAGAGGAAAAUUAGGUUUUGUUUUGCAAUUUGCACCACCAAAAUAUCCACGUGAAGAGACUGACUAUUCAAGCUUUGCAACUUAAUUCAAGGGCGUUAAUCAGUAUAUAAGGCUAUUCCAUUUGGUGAGAAAGAGAUCAUCGAUUUGAAAUGAGCUUUUUAUCUUUAAGUUCUGGAUGACAAGCUAUACACAAGAAGGUUGAAGGAGUCAGCGAUGAAAUUUUGGAUGCCAAAGAGAAGAAGCCUGGAAAGAUGAAAAGGGAAUAUGAGAUGAUAUUGAAGAAAGCCUUGCAAAGCAUCUGCUUGCUUAAUUCAGAUGCCACAACUUCGGUUAUUUUUUAGGUGAGGUGUUAUGUUUGUAUGAAAAUGUGAGUCUCAAAUAUUUUAAGCAUUGUGUCGGCAACUUGAGAUGGUUGUAAAGCAGUGCAUGUAGCAUUGGUGCCUUUUACUUUACAUGUGUAUUUGUUUCGUUCGAACUAAAAUUACAGUGUACAUUUUUAUGCCAAAGACAAGUUAAGAACUUUGGAGCCUGAUAUUCUUUGUUAGAAUUUCAGUUACAAAACUAGGGAGGGAUCCUGUCCAUUUAUGAUUCAAUGUAGAAAGAUUGGGAUGGUAAAGAUUUCUAGGGUGUUUUCUAGGUUGUUUUUGGACUGCAUUAAUUUCUUGCAAGACCGCAUUAAAAAGCAUUUUUUUCAGUCACACAUUAUAGAAGCACUUCGUUUUGAUUUGUAAACAAACUAUAUGCUUUAUCUUUGUCUUAAGUUAUAGUAUAACGUUUCAUGAUUGAAUUUGUAAGAUGGUUUAGCAAUUUUUUCACAAGCUUGCUAUUCCUACCAGAUGCUUAAGUAUUGUCCUCUACUUUUUUGUUUUCCUUUUUCUGUGUUUUUCUCAGGUGGAGUGGGUUGAUUACUUGAAACUAUAAGUAUAAUAUUAAUGGCACAAUACGAUCUACAAAUGAAUGUUCUCACACCAUGCAUAUCCAUGUAUAGCAAGCAAAGUAUCACUUCAUUGGUUCUUAGGUACUGAACCGUCUUAGUUACUUUGUGUAGAAACUAUUCAUGCAUGUUCCGACUAAUACAUUAAAUCCCUGCAACGAAGCGUGGGCACAUUUUCUAGUAUGUUCUAAGACCGAGUCCAGCCCUAAGAGAGAUUGACGAAUCCUGAUCGGUGUUUGACUUUUUAGGAUUUAGGAUUGGAUUCAGUUGAGUCCCAAAUUUUGAGUAAAAUUGUUAAGGAUCAGAAUGGACAAUAAUGAGAUUUGUAAUAUUCCAAGAAACAUUAUUCAUAGCUGAUCAAGAUCUAGAAUGGAUUAAAUAUAGAAAAGGCCGGGUUCAGAGUCCUAAGUCUAGUAGGAUUAGCUGAGCUUCACGAAAAGAUCAUGAUAGUUUGAUACCAAGGAAGCAUGGUAUGAAUUGGACUUUGCUACUGCAUGAGGUGGUUAUCUUGAAGAGUUACUCCUAUAACUAGAAGAGGGUCUCCAACAUCCAAGGCACCCUCAACUCAACAAACAAGCUUCUGCUCUGCACAAUUUCUCGCUCUACACGAAUCAUUCUCAUAUUUGAGAAAAACAUUGACCCUCCUAACUUUGUUAAGCACAUCUUUGAGUUUGUAUAAAUAGCAUUGUGGUUGACAACCAGCUACAUCUUACAAUUUCUAGAAACAACACUAGAGCCGUAGAGUCAAGUGAUCAAGGAGCACCUUCCAAUUUGUAGAAACAUCAUUAUUCCGAGUUUGGUUGACUAUCUAUCUAAGUCUCUAUCAGCGAAGAAUCUUUGAGUCCUUGUUAGAAGAUCUCAUUAGCUUCUCAGCGAAUGAGGUGUUACCAGGUUAUAUUGUUUGGCACAUUGAAAACACUACCCAUUUUAUGAUUGGAUACUCACAAGUGCAUUUUAGAGUUCGGCAUUCCG